AAGUGUUGAUUCUGGUGUUGAUUUGAAUGGCAUUAACACUUGCAGUGUAAAUCAGUGGUCGGAGUCAGUGUAAUUACAGCGAGUUGACAUAAUUGACACUGGUGAUGAGUUGAUCCAAUUUCCGGUCCUUGCACAUUAUUUCCUUUUUGAUUAAUGGCGGACAACCACGAGGAGAGGACAGUGUUCAAACAGAUAACGCGACAGACCACCGACAGGAUAUCGAGGCCAUUUAGCUGCACCACUUGUUAGCAAGCAAAUUGAGCUUUCAUGUUCAUCAAGGCGUGAAGAAAUUUGUAAAACUGCACAGCGAUAGUAGGUUCCAAAACUUUCUCACUGAAGUCCUGCACCAGUAUUGAAGGCCGUCUCGGCAGGAGGGAGGGCCACCAGCCAUUCCUACUGAGAUCAGGAAGGAGUAAGGGCAGGAUCAACCACUUUUACGUCGUUGUGGACAAGCGCCUCAUCCCUUGCGUUGGAACCAGCUCCUUGAGUGCCUUUGAACUUUUUAAAGUUCACUAUGUCUUCAACCUGUCCUACGAGAAAGCCCUGGUGUCAAAAGCCAACAGCUUGUUCUACAGGCCUUUUGAUCUGCAGUGUUUAU